UUGACCUCGAAUCAGGUAGGAAUACCCGCUGAACUUAAGCAUAUCAUAGGUCCGGAGGAAA
rnacentral:rRNA from 1 species